rnacentral:misc_RNA from 1 species
AACGCACAUUGCGCCCCUUGGUAUUCCACUGGGCAUGCCUGUUCGAGCGUCAUCUACACCCUCAAGCUGUGCUUGGUGUUGGGCGUCUGUCCCCGUUCCCCGCGGACUCGCCUCAAAUGCAUUGGCGGCGGCUCUACCGGCUUCUUGCGCAGCACUCUUGCGCGUGGAAGACCGGCGGGCCCGCACCCAUCAAGGACCUCUCCAUUUGACCUCGAAUCAGGUAGGGAUACCCGCUGAACUUAA